CUAUAUUUAUGGAGGCAUGAGGAGCCCAGGGGGGCUAGAUGGUGGUGUUGACACUAUAGGGUCAUGAAUUCAUGUUUGUGUUCCUGACCCUAUAGUGAUCCUUUAAGGUAAUGCUGACUUUGGUCUCUCUAACACUGUGGCAUGUUCCCUUUCUUCUACACUCACUACAUACAGCUUUUCUCUGUCCGAGACCAUAUACCAGGAGCUUCUGCCUGCUAGUAAGAAGGUAAGGAGACAAGUGGACCAGCGAGUGCUAGGGGACAGUCCUUAGAAAGCAUUGAGUGAG